rnacentral:rRNA from 1 species
UACGAAGGGGGCUAGCGUUGUUCGGAAUUACUGGGCGUAAAGCGCGCGUAGGCGGUGAUCUUUGUCAGAGGUGAAAGCCCGGGGCUCAACUCCGGAAUUGCCUUUGAAACGGGAUUGCUUGAGUCCGAGAGAGGAUGGCGGAAUUCCUAGUGUAGAGGUGAAACUCGUAGAUAUUAGGAAGAACACCGGUGGCGAAGGCGGCCAUCUGGCUCGGUACUGACGCUCAGGCGCGAAAGCCAGGGGAGCAAACGGG